AGCCCGGCCUUGCUCGCGGCUCUGGGCCCUUCCGCCGCGCCCUGUGGGCCUCGCUGCUUCCCGGCCGGGCCGCCUGUCGGUCGGGUCUUAGCUGGGCGCCGGGCAGCCCCUUCGUGCUCGGUUACAGCCCGGCUGAGCCUGAGCGAGCAGGAGGCCGGCGCCGACUCCGGCAUGAGGCCGGGUUCUGGGCCGUCCCGGGUCCCGGGUCCACGCGGCUCUGGCGACCCCGAGCCCUGAAGCCGGCCUGGGAGAGUCCCGGGCGCCGAAGGCCCCGAGCGGUACCAGGAGGCACGGCGCGGUCGGCCCCGGCCGAGAGGGUGAAACGCAGGCGGGAGGAGGACGCAGGCCCUGCCCGGGGUGAGGCGCUGCGCUGCUGCUCCGCCCGGCGGGCCGGAAGGGCUCAAGUCGGCCUAGAAGUUUUCAGCAUGAGUCACGAGGAACAGGGAGGAAAGAUGAUGGAUCAUGUUUCCUGGGGAACUUCUCGUCCAGUGAAAGAGAUGCCCAUAAAGAGUCCUCCCUCAGCUACAGCCACUUAAAACUCAAGUUGGCUUAAGGGCAGAUCCGUGCCCGGUUUACCCCAUCUUAUCUUUGGCACUGCACUUGGCAUGCAGAUGUGGUUGGCAAAUGUUGACUGCGUUGGUUGCCACUGGAGUAGGCACAAAGCCAGGGCCUCCACUCUUACUGGCAUGGUUUCAGUUAGAAUGGUUUCUAAAGAGCUGAAAUAUUUUUGUUAUUCUCUUAGAUGUCAAAUAAGACAAAGAAAAAAAAGAAAUGUUACUUUAAACAGUUCUAUAUUUAGCAAAAUAUUUUGGAAAUAACUAAAAUUUUAUGUAUGUAAAGUUAUAUAUGUAUCUUAUAUUUGCUUUCUAUAUUGCUAUUCUAUAUAAAUGUAUCUUAUACAGUGGACCCUUGACUUAUGAACUCAAUUUGUUCUCAAGGGCUGGUUGUAACUCAAGUUGGUCAGUGAAGGCUCGGGUUCCUCCCCACAGGCUUCAGUCUCUCUCCUGUGCACAGGCAGAUCUCAGUGUCCUCAGAGAGACACUGGCCCAGGAUUUCUCAAUGAACCCCACCCAGGAGAGGAUGCUGUCAUGUUCCUUCCAGACCUCUUUAGGGUUAAAUCUGUAUCUGAGACCAUCUGGAAGCACAAGUGGUCGAUAUUUGGGUUGUAACUUAAGAGUUUGUUCAUAAGUUAAAACUAAAAUUCUGGUCAUAACCGAAGUUGUUUGUGUCAGGCCAGUUGUAACUCAAGGGUCUACUGUAUUUGCUUUAAAGCAAAGUUCAGGAAAAAUAAAGGUAUUUUAACAUUUUUUAAAAAUUUAGACUAAACUUUUUCUUCAGGUCUGUUCCUUUCUACUUAUUUUAGGCACCUGGAUUGGUUGACUCAUGGACUCUGGAUAGAUCUAACCAAAAUGGAAGACAGUGCAUACUGAAGUGUGACUCGGGAAACAGAAAUCAUAGCGCCAUUCCAGGGCUGGCCUUCAUCUUCGGCUGUGUGGCUUCCAUCACCUCUCGUGGACUGAGGGCAGCGCAUGUGGUAGAGACAGAAAGCAAAAGAAAGAACGUCAGGGCAAGCCCGUUUGCGUUUGCUGUCUUUCUCCAGUGUGCCUGGUGCCACGUGGGCUCGUCCAGCCUGAAACACGGAAGCACCAAGCACACAUGCUGUGUCUCCACUUGAGUCACCUGAGGCACUGCCGGUCCACUCAUGAUGGGGAAGAGCCAACCACUGAUAAAUCUUCGUUGUUCCUCUGAUGGGGCUGUGUCUUGUGCCGCACGCCGGACAUCAGCUUUCAUUGCUCCGUGUGUCUGUCUCCUGUGAUCCUGUCUCAAUUCGCACGAGACGCAGCACAGCCUUGAGAACCAACGUACCUGUUCCUCACGUCCACCGUCUAGCUCAGUCAGGGGCAUGAUCCGGACUUUCUAAGUAGCCCUCACACCCAAGAGGUGCCUCCAUGCCCACCUGUGAGGACUCUUUCCAGACAGCUCCACUGAGGAGACACCCCAGCUUCCUCCAGAGGACUUCUCAAGGGUCAGCACCUGCAGUCCUGUAACUAGUCAACCUCUGCCCUGACUGUAGAUUUUGAGAUAAUGGUUAAAGCCCACUCAGCUUCCUAGAAGUGCUGUUGGAUUACAUUAGGCAGAUUAAGAAUCACAGUGUAAAUAGCUUACACGUUUUAUUCUAUUUGUCAAGACCAUGCUGCCUGGGACUGCAGUAUAAAAGAGGGCUCAACUCUUGCAGGGUUCAGUGAACCCCAUUGGGAUCCACUCUAGACAAGCUGACAUUGCAGCUUGCAGGCUGUGGCUGUCACACGGAGUCCUCAGUGUCUCUGCCCUUUUCACAUCCCAACAGACCCUAACAUGCUGGAGCCAUCGCCACACAAGUUCCCUCUGCCGUCAGUAUCCUGGAAUAAGGGUGUCAAAUAUACACAUCCUGAGCUUUAAUCUGUAAACACAGCCCCAAGCAUCUGGAGGAGAAGGUGUGUUCACGCUUCGCUCCUGCUACUUCCAUGAAGUUCCAGAGCCGAUCUCUGGCACAAACCAGUAGGAGGACAGAAUCAGAGGCUUGACCUGUGCACUGUGGGUGCCCGUAAGGCUAGUCCUGGGAACGCAGCCUCAUGCUCCCCAUGUGGCCACCAGACUCACGCUGGGGGACCCCGCAGGCCCAUCCCUGGCGGCUCAUCUUUGUCCUUGGGCCCUCGCAGGCGGUGCAUAGGAGUGAGGAGAGCACAGUCUCCCCUCUUCAGGAAGUGACAGCGGUGCCGUGGCAGAGCCUGGUCUGCAGUCCUAGAUCCCACAGUGCUGUCCGCAGCCACAGCUUCAGGGUGCAAGGUCUGAGGCAAAUUUGAGAAGAGUUUGGUGAUCAGCUGAGAAGUAAUGAAAGAUGCCAAAGACUUUGACAGUGAUGGCCACUCAGGGCAAAUCCCUUCCAGCAUCAUCUUUCCAGUCCUGUGCCGGAAAUCAGCUCUACCCACCAAGAGAGAGAGUGGCUGCUGUUGCCUCUACUCAGGGCCUGUAGGCUAUGUGAACCACAGCUGUAAGUCUGGGGUUGGGAACCAAAAGAAAGAAAGGGAAAUUGUUAUUUUCUCAAAAGAAAGGAGGCAGAGUGAGAAAACGAAGGAGACAAAAAUAACUGAGAUGAGGGUGAAGCUGAUUUGGAGCAGAUUUUCUUCCCUAAGGAGACAGACUGACCCACACAGCACACAUUCCUCUCCCGGAAGUGUUUGCGGGUCCCCAUCAGGACGAACCCCGAGAGUCCUUCUGAGGCGGGGCAUGCAGUCAGCUCUGAGAAGCUCGCUCUCUCUGCAGAUCUGCCCUCUGCCACUCAGGGGCCACCGGUGGAAGCCGGGAGGCUGUUAACUCUUGGACACUGGCGUGCCAGCUCCUGCAGGGCCUGAGGCUGAGUCAGUCGUGAGGGGCGGAGGGCGGCCCCCGCUUCUCUCCGCACGGACGCCCUGGCGAUCCGGGUCCACUUGCCCCGCUCCUCACACCGCGCACACGGCACACCCGCACUUGCCCCCACCUUGGCCGCAGGCUUGCUGCUGAGUGCCUGGCACCCUCGGGCGCAGCGCGUGCCCUCCUGAGGCCCACACUCACACAGGGCCACCUGCCUCACCCUGCCGGCCCUGGAUUGUGCAAGCAGCCCCACUCUGUGCUUUGUUUUUUAGCCUCUGGAUACGUUUUUUUCUCUUUAUCUCUGGGAAGACAGUGGAAGCUACAAUGAAGCCCCACAAAUACAGCAGACCCGGUACUGGGCCCAAGGCCGGUCACCCUGUCACCUCCAACAGGUUCUCUCUGACCGAGGGUCCUUCUCAUCUCAAGAGCCGAUGCACUGAAACCCCCUCACUGGUGGACACUCCAUGGUUAAUAUCCUUUUCUCUUCUGUGAUCAAAAGAAAUUCUGUUUUCUCAAGGAUGCUGGAAGUUCCCCAUGGAGAAAGAAAUAUUAUCAUUUCUCUCUCACCCCUUUGCACCAUGGACUAAAAAGCUUCUCAAACCUCCUGGGUUCCGCUCACAGCCACCAGGCUGAGGGAAAGCAGCUGGGAACACAGCCCAGGAAUGUGCUUCCAGAAGUUUCUGCCUGGCUCUCCCGGGCUGCACCUCACAGGCUGCACACAGUCUGUGCACUCACAGCCCCUCAGCCAGGUCAGAUCUGAUUCUCACGAGCCCAGUCGCCUCAGGACAAGCGUUACGAUUUUCCACAGCCCAGAUGACUGGAUGGAUGAACUUGUCUAGUCACCCAGCAGGUCAGCGGCAGGGCCACCCCCUAUAUUCGCAGUGCAAGCUGUUGCAUAUUUCGAAUUUGAACAAAUCAUACCAUUUAAUUUCAAGCUAAACCUAGAGUCCUGUUAUACUGAAAAGCAGAGCAAUUUGCAAAUUCAUGAUUUAAGAAAUUGCAUUAAUAACAUAAAUGAUUAGAGACAGUGAGAAUGUCCAGAGGAGUUUGUGGGGUACAGGGCAAGGGUGAGGACAGGGAAAGGGGUUGAUGUUUACCCUGCAAUCUCAUCACUUUGGAAACAUUUGAUUACAAUUAAGUGUGCACAAACAUGUUAGCAGGAAUUGAAAUAAUAGAAAUGGCAUGAGAAUGCUGUUUUUGGUAUCUCAUAAGAGCCUGCUUCUGGGAUUUUAUCUAGACAUGCACUUAGUUAUUUUAGCAUCACAUCUGUAUGGUGGGGGUAUUAUUAUUAUUUCAAUAUUUUAAGUAGCUGCCACUUAACUAUGAGAUAUGUUUUAAUAUGAAAUACAUUUUAACAACUGGAUGCUUUAAAAGACCCCCCAAAAUAACUGUCAGGCACAGAAAAGCGAACACUGCAUGAUCUCACUUACAUGUAAAAUCUAAAAAGGUGAAACUCCUGGAAGUAUGAGACUAGAAAGGUAGUUACCAGAGGCUGACAGGAGGGUGGGAAAGGUGAAUCAGAGGAGAGAAGAGGUUACCCAAGGGGGACUAGUUUCAGGGAGAUGGGGCACUAAGUGCUAGAGAUCUCUGUGCUACUAUAAUAAAUAACAAUGUAUUGUGUAUUUCAACAUCAGUAAAAGAGUAGACUGUAAGUGUUCCCACCACAAAUAAAUAAGUAUGUGCAAUGACAAGUAUGUUAAUGAGCCCAGUCUAAUUAUAACACAAUGGAUCCAUGUAUCUAACAGCACACUAUAGCUCGUGAUUACUUUUGUCAAUUUGAAAAUAAAAUUUUAAAAAGGUU